rnacentral:rRNA from 1 species
UUGGAGACUUGUAUGAAUGGAAUAACGAAGUUUGGCUGUUUCUAUAUAUAUAUUAAAAAUUGAUUUAUAAAUGAAAAAUUUUUUAUUAUUAUAAAGGACGAAAAGACCCUAUAGAAUUUUAAUGUAUUAAUUAUUUAAUUAUGUCUUUGUUUUUAGAAUUUGGUUAUAUAGUUUUCAUUUUUAUUGGGGUAAUAUAAGAAUAGUAAAAUUCUUAUUUAUAAAGGUUAUGAUGGUAAUAUUUGUAUCCUUAAAAAGAAUUAAUAAAAAUUACCUUAGGGAUAACAGCGUAAUUUUACCAGAGAGGGCUUAUCGAAGGUAAAGUUUGCGACCUCGAUGUUGGACUAAGAUUACUUUUGGGUGUAGAGGCUUGAAAUAGUGAGCCUGUUCGGCUUUUAAAAUCUUACAUGAUCUGAGUUCAAACCGGAGA